rnacentral:rRNA from 1 species
GACGAACGCUGGCGGCGUGCUUAACACAUGCAAGUCGAACGGAAAGGCCCUGCUUUUGUGGGGUGCUCGAGUGGCGAACGGGUGAGUAACACGUGAGUAACCUGCCCUUGACUUUGGGAUAACUUCAGGAAACUGGGGCUAAUACCGGAUAGGAUCUCCUGCUGCAUGGUGGGGGUUGGAAAGUUUCGGCGGUUGGGGAUGGACUCGCGGCUUAUCAGCUUGUUGGUGGGGUAGUGGCUUACCAAGGCUUUGACGGGUAGCCGGCCUGAGAGGGUGACCGGCCACAUUGGGACUGAGAUACGGCCCAGACUGCAACGGGAGGCAGCAGGGGGGAAUAUUGCACAAGGGGCGGAAGCCUGAUGCAGCAACGCCGCGUGCGGGAUGACGGCCUUCGGGUUGUAAACCGCUUUCGCCUGUGACGAAGAGUGAGUGACGGUAAUGGGUAAAGAAGCACCGGCUAACUACGUG